AGAGUUUGAUCCUGGCUCAGAACGAACGCUGGCGGCAGGCCUAACACAUGCAAGUCGAACGCUCGUAGCAAUACACGAGUGGCGCACGGGUGAGUAACACGUGGGAAUCAACCCAGAGGUUCGGAAUAACCGCGGGAAACUGCGGCUAAUACCGGAUAUCCCCUACGGGGGAAAGAUUUAUCGCCUUUGGACGAGCCCGCGUCCGAUUAGCUAGUUGGUGAGGUAACGGCUCACCAAGGCUCCGAUCGGUAGCUGGUCUGAGAGGACGACCAGCCACACUGGAACUGAGAUACGGUCCAGACUCCUACGGGAGGCAGCAGUGGGGAAUAUUGGGCAAUGGAGGCAACUCUGACCCAGCCAUGCCGCGUGGGUGACGAAGGUCUUCGGAUUGUAAAGCCCUUUCGGCGGGGACGAUGAUGACGGUACCCGCAGAAGAAGCCCCGGCUAACUUCGUGCCAGCAGCCGCGGUAAUACGAAGGGGGCUAGCGUUGUUCGGAAUUACUGGGCGUAAAGGGCGUGUAGGCGGCCCGUUAAGACAGGUGUGAAAUUCCUGGGCUCAACCCAGGACGUGCGCCUGUGACUGGCGGGCUUGAGUCCGGGAGAGGAUGGUGGAACUCCCAGUGUAGAGGUGAAAUUCGUAGAUAUUGGGAAGAACACCCGUGGCGAAGGCGGCCAUCUGGACCGGUACUGACGCUAAGGCGCGACAGCGUGGGGAGCAAACAGGAUUAGAUACCCUGGUAGUCCACGCCGUAAACGAUGAGUGCUAGACGUUGGGAAGCCUAGCUUUUCAGUGUCGCAGCUAACGCAUUAAGCACUCCGCCUGGGGAGUACGGCCGCAAGGUUAAAACUCAAAGGAAUUGACGG
rnacentral:rRNA from 1 species